CCUACGGGAGGCAGCAGUAGGGAAUCUUCCGCAAUGGACGAAAGUCUGAUGGAGCAACGCCGCGUGAGCGAUGAAGGCCUUCGGGUCGUAAAGCUCUGUUGUUAGGGAAGAACAAGUACCGGAGUAACUGCCGGUACCUUGACGGUACCUAACCAGAAAGCCACGGCUAACUACGUGCCAGCAGCCGCGGUAAUACGUAGGUGGCAAGCGUUGUCCGGAAUUAUUGGGCGUAAAGCGCGCGCAGGCGGUCCUUUAAGUCUGAUGUGAAAGCCCACGGCUCAACCGUGGAGGGUCAUUGGAAACUGGGGGACUUGAGUGCAGAAGAGGAAAGCGGAAUUCCACGUGUAGCGGUGAAAUGCGUAGAGAUGUGGAGGAACACCAGUGGCGAAGGCGGCUUUCUGGUCUGUAACUGACGCUGAGGCGCGAAAGCGUGGGGAGCAAACAGGAUUAGAUACCCUGGUAGUCCACGCCGUAAACGAUGAGUGCUAAGUGUUAGGGGGUUUCCGCCCCUUAGUGCUGCAGCUAACGCAUUAAGCACUCCGCCUGGGGAGUACGGCCGCAAGGCUGAAACUCAAAGGAAUUGACGG
rnacentral:rRNA from 1 species